rnacentral:rRNA from 1 species
CGAACGGGUGAGUAACGCGUGAGGAACCUGCCUCAAAGAGGGGGACAACAGUUGGAAACGACUGCUAAUACCGCAUAAGCCCACGGCUCGGCAUCGAGCAGAGGGAAAGGAGCAAUCCGCUUUGAGGUGGCCUCGCGUCCGAUUAGCUAGUUGGUGAGGUAACGGCCCACCAAGGCGACGAUCGGUAGCCGGACUGAGAGGUUGAACGGCCACAUUGGGACUGAGACACGGCCCAG